rnacentral:rRNA from 1 species
UAUUGGACAAUGGGGGGAACCCUGAUCCAGCGACGCCGCGUGAGUGAAGAAGUAUCUCGGUAUGUAAAGCUCUAUCAGCAGGGAAGAAAGAAAUGACGGUACCUGAGUAAGAAGCCUCGGCUAACUCCGUGCCAGCAGCCGCGGUAAUACGUAGGGGGCAAGCGUUAUCCGGAAUUACUGGGCGGAAAGGGAGCGUAGACGGUGAUGUAAGGCUGGAGUGAAAGGCGGGGGCCCAACCCCCGGACUGCUCUGGAAACUAGGUGACGGGAGGGCAGGAGAGGUGAGCGGAAUUCCUAGUGUAGCGGUGAAAUGCGUAGAUAUUAGGAGGAACACCAGUGGCGAAGGCGGCUCACUGGACUGUAACUGACGUUGAGGCUCGAAAGCGUGGGGAGCAAACAGG